AGCAAGUGUGCAGUUCUGCCUCGUCUUCAGUUGUGUGCGUGGUGCAACGGGGCAGAUGGAUAAGGAAAAGAAGAAGAGGGGGAGACAGAGGUAGAGAUGAGAGAGGGGGGGAAAGAGUGUGGCAGACAGCUGAGGAGGGAACUGUUAUCCAUACAAUGGAGAACGGAAGAUGACUGAAUUAUACAGCGGGAUAUUUAUUCAGAAGACAAACUGUUGGCUGUGUGACACGGCAUUUGCUGGAAUCGCAAACAGUGUUUUGAUAGUGCAGACUACUGUGAAAUCAACAUCGCCGGAAAAAGCUGCGAGGCUCAUCUGUAUGGCGGAGUGGUGGUGUGUCACCCUAAAGAAGCUAAAAAGAGAAACAGAGCCUUGAGGAGUAAACAUUCAUCUCUGCAGUGAGAGGCACAGGCAGACUUUCCUGCUCUCUGAUCUAAAUAUUCAGAAAAAGACAAUGUGCAUCGAGCCAAGGAACACUCCCCUUUCACAGCCACAAUACAUAUAGAUUUUUAAAA